ensembl:snoRNA LOC120099476 small nucleolar RNA SNORA48
CCCCCCUGGCAGUGGGCAGAGACACCAUGUUGGUGGUGGUGUUCUUAUGUCAGUCAGGGCAGAGCAGAAGGCAGUCCUUUGUUCACCCUAGCUUGAUGCCUGGCUUGGUGGCCAAAGCUGUCUUAUGCCUAGGACACAUAA